CACCACUAUCACCACCAACCACAUCACCACCAACCACAUCACCAAUCACAUCAUGCACCAACCACAUCACCAAUGACAUCACCCACCAACCACAUCACCACCAACCACAUCACCCACCACCACCACCAACCACAUCAUCACCAAAUCACCAACCACAUUACCCACCACCACCACGACCCACCAUCACCCUCAACCACAUCAUCACCAACCACAUCACCACCAACCACAUCACACCAACCACAUCACCACCAACCACAUCACCCACCACUAUCACCACCAACCACAUCGCCACCAACCACAUCACCCACCAUCACCACCAACCACAUCACCACCAACCACAUAACCACCAACCACAUCACCCACCACUAUCACCCCCAACCACAUCACCCACCACUAUCACCCCCAACCACAUCACCACCAACCACAUCACCCACCAACCACAUCACACCAACCACAUCACCCACCACUAUCACCCCCAACCACAUCACCCACCAACCACAUCACACCAACCACAUCACCCACCACUAUCACCCCCAACCACAUCACCACCAACCACAUCACCCACCAACCACAUCACCCACCACUAUCACCACCAACCACACCACCAACCACAUCACCCACCACUAUCACCACCAACCACAUCACCCACCACUAUCACCCCCAACCACAUCACCCACCACUAUCACCACCAACCACAUCACCCACCACUAUCACCCCCAACCACAUCAUCACCA
rnacentral:lncRNA from 1 species